GAGAUCAUACUUCACAGAAUCAUUUCUGUAGUGUGUAUUUC
rfam:Loa loa cont3.9267, whole genome shotgun sequence.